GCUGUUCCUUUCAACUUGGUUCAGCAGGAAGAAGUGAUAUCCUCCCCAGACCAUCUGCUUUGGGGAGCUUGGCAAAACUUUCCAGCAAAAUGAAAAGACUCACGUGCUUUUUCAUCUGCUUCUUUCUUUCCGAAGUAUCAGGCUUCGAAAUCCCCAUAAAUGGACUUUCUGAAUUUGUAGACUAUGAAGAUCUUGUGGAACUGGCCCCAGGAAAAUUUCAAUUGGUGGCAGAGAACCGGAGAUAUCAGAGAAGCCUUCCAGGAGAAUCGGAAGAAAUGAUGGAAGAGGUUGAUCAAGUAACUCUUUAUAGCUAUAAAGUCCAGUCUACUAUUACUUCUCGGAUGGCCACCACCAUGAUCCAGAGCAAAGUGGUGAACAAUUCCCCGCAGCCUCAGAAUGUCGUGUUUGAUGUUCAGAUCCCCAAAGGAGCAUUCAUUUCCAACUUCUCCAUGACUGUGGACGGCAAGACAUUUAGGAGCUCUAUUAAGGAGAAAACUGUGGGCCGAGCUCUUUACGCACAGGCCAGAGCAAAAGGCAAGACGGCUGGCAUGGUGAGGUAAGGCCUGAGUGAGCAAGGCUUGCCCUUGCCUCUCAAUGGCGGUUUCCUCUCCUACUUCCUUCCCAUAGCAGCAAAGCAGCCUCUGGAAAGGCACA
rnacentral:sRNA from 1 species